GACGAACGCUGGCGGCGUGCCUAAUACAUGCAAGUCGAACGCAGUGGGGACGGGUGAGUAACACGUGGGUAACCUCCCAUCAGAGGGGAUAACACUUGGAAACAGGUGCUAAACCGAUACUGAUGGAUGGACCCGCGGUGGAUUAGCCAGUUGGUGGGGUAACGGCUCACCAAGGCCACGAUGCAUAGCCGACCUGAGAGGGUGAUCAGCCACACUUGGACUGAGAACCGGCCCAGACUCCGACGGGAGGCAGCAGGGGGGAAUCUUGGGCAAGGGACGAAAGUCUGACCGAGCAACGCCGCGUGAGUGAAGAAGGUUUUCGGAUCGUAAAACUCUGUUUUUAGAGAAGCGUUAUCUAACCAGAAAGCCACGGCUAACUACGUGCCAGCAGCCGCGGUAAUUC
rnacentral:rRNA from 1 species